UGGUUCUGGCAUCGAUGAAGAACGCAGCAAAAUGCGAUAAGUAAUGCGAAUUGCAGAAUUUCCGUGAGUCAUCGAAUCUUUGAACGCACAUUGCGCCCUUUGGUAUUCCGAAGGGCAUGCCUAUUCGAGCGUCAUUAUCAACCUUCAAACCCUUGUGUUUGUAGUUGGGUUAAGUUGGUGACAACUGACCUGAAAGACAAUGAUGAUGUCUGUAGAAACGAGAUACAAUGAGCUUUCGGGCACGUAUCGACUCUCUAGAGAGAUUGUCUCACCUUAUAUUUUUCUUAGGUUGACCUCGGAUUAGGUAGGAAUACCCGCUGA
rnacentral:misc_RNA from 1 species